CCUACGGGAGGCAGCAGUGGGGAAUAUUGGACAAUGGGCGCAAGCCUGAUCCAGCCAUACCGCGUGAGUGAAGAAGGCCUUCGGGUUGUAAAGCCCUUUUGUUGGGAAAGAAAAGCAGUCGAUUAAUACUCGGUUGUUCUGACGGUACCCCAAAGAAUAAGCACCGGCUAACUUCGUGCCAGCAGCCGCGGUAAUACGAAGGGUGCAAGCGUUACUCGGAAUUACUGGGCGUAAAGCGUGCGUAGGUGGUUGUUUAAGUCUGUUGUGAAAGCCCUGGGCUCAACCUGGGAAUUGCAGUGGAUACUGGGCGACUAGAGUGUGGUAGAGGGUAGUGGAAUUCCCGGUGUAGCAGUGAAAUGCGUAGAGAUCGGGAGGAACAUCCAUGGCGAAGGCAGCUACCUGGACCAACACUGACACUGAGGCACGAAAGCGUGGGGAGCAAACAGGAUUAGAUACCCUGGUAGUCCACGCCCUAAACGAUGCGAACUGGAUGUUGGGUGCAAUUUGGCACGCAGUAUCGAGACGACGACGUAGUUCGUCCGCCGNGGGAGGUACGGUCGGUCGAGACGUUAGUAACGUUACGAAGUAGAGUUAGACGGCGUUGAGACGUUGCCGACGGACGACGACGAGGGAGGAGG
rnacentral:rRNA from 1 species